rnacentral:rRNA from 1 species
GACGAACGCUGGCGGCGUGCUUAACACAUGCAAGUCGAACGGAAAGGCCCUGCUUGCAGGGUACUCGAGUGGCGAACGGGUGAGUAACACGUGGGUGAUCUGCCCUGCACUUCGGGAUAAGCCUGGGAAACUGGGUCUAAUACCUGAUAGGAGCCAUUUUUAGUGUGAUGGUUGGAAAGUUUUUUCGGUGUAGGAUGAGCUCGCGGCCUAUCAGCUUGUUGGUGGGGUAAUGGCCUACCAAGGCGGCGACGGGUAGCCGGCCUGAGAGGGUGGACGGCCACAUUGGGACUGAGAUACGGCCCAGACGCCGACGGGAGGCAGCAGUGGGGAAGAUUGCACAAUGGGCGCAAGCCUGAUGCAGAGACGCCGCGUGGGGGAGGACGGCCUUCGGGUUGUAAACUCCUUUCGCUAGGGACGAAGCUUUUUGUGACGGUACCUAGAGAAGAAGCACCGGCUAACUACGUG